rnacentral:lncRNA from 1 species
UUUACUUGAAGAUGAUACUACUGUGUUAUAUGUUAUGUUCAUGCUUAUGGUAUAUCAUUGUUCUAUAUUAAUUGUGGGAUGGUAUAAACUUACAUUUUCUAGUAAUUAGAUGAUGAAUAAAAUUUGACCAACUAAAAGUGCUAAUCGCAAUUAACCUUGUCAGCCUUCCACCAUAUAAAGCCUUGCAUGUCAUAUAUAUUUCUCUCUUGCUGAGUACGACAUGUGCUCACGCUUGUGUUUUAUAUAUUGCAUCUACAACAUCCAGAUUGCUGCUCAGACCCGGAGAAUUUUGAAGAUUACUAAGGUUUUUGGAAGAGUUCUAGGCGAGUCCACCAGUCAGCUACCUGUGGAGUUUUUGGAGAUCCGCUGCUUAUAUUAGAGAUUUCUGUCUUAAUUCUGGUUACAUAAUUUAUGUCAUUCUCUCUUUACGCUAUAACACUGUAUUUGAUAUUUACUGAAGUCAUCGUAUGUGUGAAACUUGAUCCUGGCACACAUAUGAUAGUCAUCUGGUUUUGCCUUUAAAACCGGGUGUGACAGAAGUGGUAUCAGAGUCGUGUUGACUGUAGGACGUUUGCCUAGUUAGAAAAUGGUCGAAUUUAAGGAUUAUUAUACUUUAGUAGCCAUAUUUUCUUUAUUCUUGCUAUCUUCUUACUACUCGCCACCCAUUGUUGAUUUAUCUCAUCCUUGUUGCUUAGAACUCUACUACUUCUACCUUACCUUGCUCUAAAAUCUUUGGUUUGUUCAAAGACUUGUUUCAUACUACCAUUAGAUGGCUAUAGAAAGGAGGAUAUCUCAUAAGAAUGGACCAAUCUCGCAUGCUCACCAACCUUAGGAGCAUGAAGCAGUGGGACAAACUAAAGAGCAAGUGCAUCUAGAUGAAACCAGGAGGAAGAAUGAGAUCCUGGAAACAAAUCCAAAGGAGAUAAGAACCUACCAAAGGGGUUGGGAGAAGAUUUGGAUGAAGAAGUGUCUAGCCGACCCUAUGCCUCGCAAGAUUGUUCGCUAUGGCUCUCCUAGCUCUAGGAUCAGGGCAUCCUCUAAUCCUUAAGAAAACUUAGGAGGUCUUCUUAUCAGUGGUGAAACGUUAGAAUCGAGUCGUUUGAUCAGUCUUGUUUAGUGUGCUUGUUAUGCUUGUCAUUGUGUUAACUUGUUUGAGUUGGUUCUUUGUAAUGAUUGUGAUGUGUUGUGGAGUGAUGACCACAAUGACAUCAGUUUAGUAGUAGACUUGUAGAUGGGGUUUUAUCUCAUCUCAAUCGAACUAAAUCAAGCACAAUCUUUUAUCUAUCUAUCCAUCUAUCUACCAUCCAAACCUAGAGCUGCUAAAAAAAAGUGUUCUCAUCACCGUCCGAUAGAGCCACACUGUUUGACGUAUAUCGAAUCCAGUUGGGUUAGCACCAGAAUUUCAUAAGCUAACUUCUGCAAAGGCUUCGUGGUUUUUGGAUCUACAGAUGGAGAGAAACCUGGUGUUAGUGGAAUAAUCAGAGUCUGCCGUAAUCUGGAAUUUAUAUCACCCUACCAACUUGAUUCAUCUAUAUCUACAAAUAUCUGAGUCUCAUUUUUUUUUAUUUUUCAUCAGAUGGUGAAUACCAGGUCUGGAUCUGGAGUUGAUCAACCAGCACAACCUCAUCAGCGAAGGAGCAAUUCUAACCUUAAUCCUCAGCAGAACAAAGCACCAUCGGGAGGGAUGGAGCAGAUCCUUGCCGCCCACACUCAGCUGUUGCAGAACCUGGCCAACUCGGUGGCUAGUUUGCAAGCUCAAGUGAACCAGACACUACCAGCGCCACUUGUGUAUCCUAGGGACAAGCACAGAGAGUUCAUGAGCCAUCGACCUCCUACCUACUCUCACUCAACGGAUCCUUUACAAGCUGAUGAUUGGCUCAGGGAUGUAGAGAAGAAGCUCGAGAUCACACAGUGUAAUAACAGGGAGAAGGUUCUGUAUGCUUCAGGAAGAUUGGAAGGACCCGCUGCAGAUUGGUGGGAUUCCUACAUAGGUGCCCAUGAAGACUCAUCUACCAUCACUUGGCAGGAGUUCAAGACCAACUUCAGCGCACACCACAUUCCAGCUAGUGUGAUUAAGCUUAAGAAGCAGGAGUUUUCUCAGUCUCAAACAGGAAGGGAUGUCUGUGAAUGAGUAUCGAGAUUAGUUCAUCCAGCUAUCCCGCUAUGCACCAGAAAAGGUCGCUACUGAUGAGAAGAAGCAAGAUCAUUUUCUGGAAGGUUUAGAUGGACAUAUUCAGUAUCAGCUAGUGGCUCACACUUUCCCUAACUUUCAGCAACUGGUGGAUAAGGCACUUCUGGUGGAGGAUAAGCGUCACGAGCUCCAAGAGAAGAAGAGGAAGAUCAACUCCCAAAUACAAUCCAGCAGCAAUAGCCGUCCUCAUCUUAUUCAACAACCUUGGCCACAAGAUUGUCCGGUCGAUCAAUAUAGAAAUUCUGGGCAGUAUCCUCUUGAACCACCCGAGUUUCAGGAGCCCCAUCCUAAUUUCCAAACCCCAGGGCCAGCAACCCCAGUGACUUCCCAAAUGAUAUCAGGUGACCCAAGAACUCCAACUAAGAAGGCUUGUUUCUGUUGUAAGAAAGAAGGUCAUUUGAUUGGACAAUGCCCAAAGAAGCUCUUACAACUACUUGGUAAGAAUAACCAGAAGAAAGCCCAAGUGCAAACUCUCUUAAGAAAUGACAAUCAGGUCCCUGUUUCAGGAAAUUGGCUACAAUCAAACUACGAGAAAGGCAAGGUGAACCAUAUAACUAUUGAUAGUGCUCGAAGUGCUACAGAUGUGGUGCUUGGAACAUUCCUAGUUAACUCUACUCCAGCAGUAGCUCUCAUUGAUUCCGGUGCAUCACAUGCUUUUGUUAGUAAACAGUAUGUUGCAAAUAAAGGGUUAGUCACAGUCCCUUUGAGACAACCCAUGCUAGUUGAUUCCCCUGGGAAAUUGAUGAAAGCAAAGCACAUAUGCCCAAGAGCCAACAUAAAUAUAAAUGGGGUAGAUUUUCUAGCUGACCUUGUAGUGUUGGAAACAACCAACAUCGAUGUCACCCUUGGAAUUGGGUGGUUGAGCACUUUUGAUGGUGAUGUUCAAUGUGCUCAAGGAUCGGUGCUACUUACAAGUCCACAAGGGGAAAGAAUCGAGUAUGUGUCUACACCACCCUCAGCAACGCAUUGUGUGAUUAAUCAAGUGAAGGUUACUCCCUUUGAAGAAAUUAGAGUGGUAUGUGAGUUCCCAGAUGUGUUCCCAGAUGAGUUACCUGGCAUGCCACCAGACCGAGAAGUGGAGUUUGUUAUUGAUCUUAUCCCUGGUACUGCACCUAUUUCCCAACGUCAAUACAGAAUGUCUGUUGAGCAAUUAAGAGAAUUAAAGCAACAGAUAGAGGAAUUAUUGGCAAAACAAUUUAUUCGUCCUAGUUCGUCACCAUGGGGAGCCCCGGUUAUCUUUGUGCCCAAGAAGGAUGGCACGAAGAGGAUGUGUGUGGACUACAGGUCACUUAACGAGGUAACCAUCAAAAACAAGUACCCAUUGCCCCGCAUUGAAGAUCUGUUUGAUCAGAUGAGAGGAGCUAAGGUAUUCUCCAAGGUUGACUUGCGAUCGGGUUAUCAUCAACUGAAGAUCAGACCAUCGGACAUACCCAAGACUGCCUUCACUACCAGAUACGGACUAUAUGAGUAUACAGUUAUGUCAUUUGGGCUAACAAAUGCUCCAGCCUAUUUCAUGUAUCUGAUGAACAAGGUGUUUAUGGAGUACCUAGAUAAGUUUGUGGUGGUAUUUAUUGAUGAUAUCUUGAUCUACUCCAAGAAUGAGGAAGAACAUGAGGAACAUCUGAGGUUAGUGCUUCAGAAGUUGAGGGAACAUCAACUAUACGCCAAGUUCAGUAAGUGUGAUCUUUGGUUAAAGGAGGUUUCUUUCCUUGGUCAUAUCAUCACCAAUGGUGGAAUUGCAGUGGAUCCCAGCAAGGUCAGGGACGUUCUGAAGUGGAAUCCACCGCAAACAGUCGUAGAGGUCAGGAGUUUCCUCGGACUUGCGGGAUACUACCGCAGGUUCAUUGAGGGGUUCUCUAAAAUAGCAAAACCUCUUACUUCAUUAUUAGAGAAAGGAAGGGAAUUCAAAUGGACUAAAGCCUGUCGAGUCAGCUUUGAAGAGUUGAAGAAGAUAUUGACUACAGCCCCAGUGCUGGUAAUGCCUGACCUACAUAAGAACUUUGAUAUCUAUUGUGAUGCCUCUCGACAAGGCCUAGGCUGUGUUCUCAUGCAGGAGGGACAUGUUAUAGCCUAUGCAUCCCGACAGUUGAGGAAACAUGAGCAGAAUUAUCCUACUCAUGAUUUGGAGUUAGCAGCAGUUGUGCAUGCCUUGAAGAUUUGGAGGCAUUAUGUCCUUGGAACUAAAUGCCGAGUCUACACCGAUCACAAGAGUCUAAAAUACAUUUUCACCCAGAAGGACCUUAAUCUGAGACAACAUCGUUGGUUGGAGUUGAUCAAGGACUACGAUAUGGAAAUUCACUACCAUCCGGGGAAAGCAAAUUUGGUUGCAGAUGCCUUGAGUCGGAAGGGUCAUGCUAAUCUAGCCUUAGCAUUUCAGUUUCCUGAAGAGUUGAUGAGGGAAUUUGAGAAGCUUAACUUGAGUAUAGUUGCUCAUACUGAAGGAGUAACUAUGGAAGUGGAGUCGACUCUAGAACAAGAGAUACGAAAAGGACAGCUCGAGGAUGCAAAAAUCAAGGAUAUUAAGAAGUUGGUGAAGGAAGGAAAAGCCUCGGAUUUCACUGAGGAUGCUCAGGGAACUUUAUGGAUUCGGGGGAGGAUUUGUGUACCAGAUGUGGAAAAUCUUCGGGAGACAAUCCUGAAAGAAGUUCAUGAUUCAACUUAUUCCAUUCACCCUGGGAGUACCAAGAUGUAUCAGGAUCUGAAGCAGAGAUACUGGUGGCCUGGAAUGAAGAGAGACGUAGCUUCCCAUGUAGCACUUUGUGACACAUGUCAAAGGGUCAAAGCUGAACACCAGAGGCCAGCUGGAAUGCUUCAGCCGUUAAAGGUGCCCAAAUGGAAAUGGGAGGAAAUUGGUAUGGAUUUUAUAGUCGGAUUGCCCCGUACUCAAGCUGGUUAUGAUUCGAUUUGGGUGAUCGUGGAUAGGUUGACGAAGGUAGCACACUUCAUACCUGUGAAAACUACUCAUUCAGGGGCAAGAUUGGCCGAAUUGUAUAUGUCAAGAAUUGUGUGUUUACACGGUGUGCCCAAGAAGAUAGUAUCCGACAGAGGUACUCAGUUCACAUCUCGCUUCUGGCAGAAGUUACAUGAAUCUCUAGGUACAAAGUUAAAUUUUAGCUCAGCUUAUCAUCCUCAGACAGAUGGACAGACUGAGAGGACAAAUCAGAUACUGGAGGAUAUGUUGAGAGCGUGUGCAUUAAAGCAUGGAGGUAGUUGGGAUAAGAGUUUGCCUUAUGCCGAAUUCUCUUAUAACAACAGUUACCAGGCAAGUCUCAAGAUGUCCUCGUUUGAAGCUUUAUAUGGGAGGAAGUGCAGAACCCCUCUCUAUUGGAGUGAGACAGGAGAGAGUCAAUUGUUUGGGCCAGAAAUCAUCCAGGAAGCAGAAAGACAGGUUCAAAUAAUCAGAGAGAACCUAAGGACAGCCCAAUCCAGGCAAAAGAGCUAUGCUGAUACUAGAAGAAGAGAGUUGACUUUUGAGGAAGGUGACUAUGUGUAUCUGAAAGUAUCGCCCAUCAGGGGCAUGCGUAGAUUCAUGAUUAAAGGGAAGUUAUCACCUCGCUUCAUCGGACCUUUCAAGAUUCUUAAGAAAGUGGGACGUGUAGCUUAUCGAUUGGAGUUACCUAAUCAGCUCUCAGAUGUGCAUGAUGUGUUUCAUGUCUCACAACUAAAGAAGUGUCUUAGAGUUCCGGAAGAACAGUUGCCUAUGGAGGAAUUGGAUGUUCAGGAUGACCUCACCUACACGGAGUAUCCCAUCAAGAUCUUGGACACCUUAACACGGGUUACUAGGAACAGGUUGAUUAAGAUGUGCAAGGUACAAUGGAGUCACCAUGCAGAGGAUGAGGCAACUUGGGAAAGAGAGGAUGAAUUGAAGAAGGAAUUUCCCCAGCUUUUUGCAGAUCCACCCGAAUCUCGAGGUCGAGAUUCAUUUUAAGGGGGGUAGGCUUGUAACACCCUAAUUUUCAGCAUUUUCAAUUUAAUAAAAAUUAAUUAGAAUCUCUUUAGAAGUUGUUUGAGUUCGUUUAAGGCCUUAAGAUUUCUCUGUGAAUUUAUUAGGCAUUAAAAUCUUUUUCUUAAAUUAACUCAAUGCACCAUAGGUUUAAGUGUGUUGCAUUGCAUGCUGGUUGCAUUUCUUAUUCUUUGAGUGUGAAAAGGUUUAAAAAUGCGUUUAGGCGAUGUUUAGUUUCCUAUGAGAAUUUUUCAGAUUUUUUCUGGGAUUUAUUCUCAUUUUCUUUCAGCUUAAUCCAAUUUUUGGAGGUUCCUAUAAAUCCUUUCCAGAGCUCCAAAUCUUUUAGUUGGGUUCCGUGUGUCCCAAAUCAUCUCCAAGAAUUAUCCUGAAUUUUUCUAAGCUUUCGGAAUAUUUUUCGCGAUUUAAUUAUGAUUUCAGGAUUUUCUGAAAUUAUUUUUAAAUUCGAAAUUAAUUCGAAAAAAGGAAAUAAAUCCCGACCUCCACCUGACCUAUAUAUAUACAUCACCGCGUUCCUCUCGACGCGAGGAUUUCAGAUCUAAAACCCUUUUCGCGAGUUGACUCUCCGAGCUCCGUAGAUCUGAAGUCAAAGUUCGGCCGCCCGCAAAACUCCAACGAGCAGAUCUGGCAAAUCCGUUCGUCCUCGGCUGAAGGUGAGCGCACCGUUGCGUUCGUAUCGUCGAUCUCGUUCCGUUUUGCUAUUCAUGCGCGAGAUCGGACUUUAUUUUCAGCUUCUCCUUUUUUUCUCUAUUUCUUCCCAUUACUGUUCUGUACCGUACCAUGGCCGCCUGUUCCGCUCCAGCGCCAUGCGCACCGCCCGCCCGUGCCGCAUCUCGCCUGCGCGCUGCGCCGUCGCCGUCCUGCCCCGCGGGUGCUGCCACCGGCCACCGCUCGCCGCCGGCCGGUCGUGCCCACCGAGUUGCCUAGUCACCGGUAACGCACGGACAGAACCAGAUGCAACCAGGAAGAAGAAGGAGGUUUUGUGUUUUAGCCCCCGAAGAAAAAGGAAAUUCCGAUGGAAAGUUUGUGUCUUGUGGUUUUGCAAAAAGGUCCUGGAAAAGUUAGAUUUUCAAGUCUCAGUCCAGCCCCUGAGUUUUUGCAAAUCUAACCCUGUAAAUUCUGUUAUUUGCAAGCACUAUUGCCUGAGUCUUGCAAAUCUUCCUUUCUACCCCCUGCCGUCUAUGAUUAAUUGCAUCUAGGUCCCUACCACCUUGUUUAUCUCAUAACUUCUUCGUUCUAGCUCCGUUUUGAGUGAUUCUUUCGCUCACGCGUUCGUCUUAACGAGUAGAUUACUUUGGUACUGCUUUUAAGUACUAUUUUUGAUGAUUGGUGUACUGUUUUUAAUUAAAUGCAUUUGUUUGCUUGUAUGUGCUCGUGUGACGCGUAUAGAAGAAGCGUAGUUUGAGGAAUCCAAAGAAGAGGAAGACUGAAGACUCUGAGCAGCAGCAGGGCUUUGAGGAAGGCAAGUGUCCUUGGUCAUUCCCGUUUAUACCUAAUUGACAUGCAUUGAUUCACAAUAUUUAUUUACCGCGUGCAUUAACAUGAUGGGUUCCUAUUAAGGACAAUGCCUAGUUUCUCUUGAUCAUACCUUGCAGCCGGGUUGUUUAAUUAAUCUUGAGGGUAGAUUAUGCUUAGCUUGCUCAACUGGGUUGGUAAAUAAACAACAUGGUUAAUUUAUUUAUUUACUCUGUUCCUUUAUGUUGAUUUAAUUACAAGACCAUAUAUUUUAAUCGGAACAUGGAGCGACCACCCAGGAAAACAAUACAGCCACAAGGACUAAAUGGCUCUGGUCUUGGCUAACUAAUUAGAGGACUCUAGUGUUGGACUGGUGUUAAGGGGGGGCAUGACUCGCGGAACCUCGUGCACUGGAACACACUAGGGAAGUCUUUAUAAAGGCCUCGUAGCGUCCCUAUGCAAUCACACCUCGGAAGUGUGGUAUUGUGCCUACUUUUGCACAGCAUGGUUGGGUCUAAAGUUCACCUGAACUUUUACGCGACUUGUGGGUAAAGAUGUACAACCUCUGCAGAGUGUAAAACUGUUAUAACAGCCGUGCUCACGGUCAAGAGCGGCCUGGACCCUCACAUGAUUAAUUUACUUGAAGAUGAUACUACUGUGUUAUAUGUUAUGUUCAUGCUUAUGGUAUAUCAUUGUUCUAUAUUAAUUGUGGGAUGGUAUAAACUUACAUUUUCUAGUAAUUAGAUGAUGAAUAAAAUUGGACCAACUAAAAGUGCUAAUCGCAAUUAACCUUGUCAGCCUUCCACCAUAUAAAGCCUUGCAUGUCAUAUAUAUUUCUCUCUUGCUGAGUACGACAUGUGCUCACGCUUGUGUUUUAUAUAUUGCAUCUACAACGUCCGGAUUGCUGCUCAGACCCGGAGAAUUUUGAAGAUUACUAAGGUUUUUGGAAGAGUUCUAGGCGAGUCCACCAGUCAGCUGCCUGUGGAGUUUUUGGAGAUCCGCUGCCUAUAUUAGAGAUUUCUGUCUCAAUUCUGGUUACAUAAUUUAUGUCAUUCUCUCUUUACGCUAUAACACUGUAUUUGAUAUUUACUGAAGUCAUCGUAUGUGUGAAACUUGAUCCUGGCACACAUAUGAUAGUCAUCUAGUUUUGCCUUUAAAACCGGGUGUGACAAACACUCAACUCAAGGCUAACCUAUUACAUCACUAUCCAAAAUUUAGGUUGUCGAGGAGUACAACAAAAGAUUAGCUCCCUACAGUCUUCAACCUAAUAGUUAUCUAGGUUGCACACUGAGGGAACGGUAUGCGUCGGAGAAGGGGCGUCGCCAUCUUCAAUAUCCAUACUGAACACUCCCACUACCUCCGCAGGGUCUUCAUGCUCUUCCAGCUGCAUCUCCAAGGCAUGGAUAGCAUCGAGCUCGGCGUGGUGCUCGUCCAAGUGGGCAUUAGCAACUGCGAGCUCCAUCUCAG